rnacentral:rRNA from 1 species
GCUAGCGUCAUAUCACCCUGCAGUUCACGCCUGGUAUCCCACUGAAGCUAAGCAGGGUUGAGCCUGGCCAGGAUGGGAGACCUCCUGGGGAAAACUAUGGUUGUUGCUGGAA